rfam:Trichobilharzia regenti genome assembly, scaffold: TRE_scaffold0014983
GUACUGAUGAAGAGUCCUAAACUAGGACGAGACAGCUGUCCAGUAC